GGAAAGGGCCGGGAAGGGCGCAUGCGCAGUGGCAGCGACUAAGGUUUAGUGAGGCGGCACCGCGCGGCCCGAGGCGGGUCUUGAAGCACUCGUUUUCCCACUCGUUUUCCGGGGUUCCCCCGCGGUGGGACAGUGAGCAGUUCAGGGCGCCGCAGCCGAGGCCUUCCUCCAGGAAAGGUUUGCUGGCUCCUGCCUUAGAAGAUGAGAAAGUUUGUGAUGGAUGGAGAAGAGGAUCUUCCAGAAAAUAACCAGGGCUUUCCAGCCACUGGAUCCAAAGGUGAAGAAGAAGUCGUGACUUGAGCACAUCUGCUUCUUUCUCCUGGCUUCUUGGGUUAUUUGCAGUGUCCUCUCUCUCUUUACUUCCUAAGCUUUAAAAAUUAAAGGUCUGUGAUUCCAACUAUAUGACACUGGGGAACGGGGAAACUGUGGGGAUGGCAGAAGGAUUAGAGGUUGCUGCAGACUGGGGUGGGGAGGGAAAGCUGGGUAGGCAGAACAUGGAGGAUGUGUAGGACUGUGAAAGGACUCUGCGUGACACUGUGAUGGGGGACACAUGUCAUUAUAGGUUUGUCCAAACUGUCGAAUGUACAACACCAAGAGUGAGCCCUGAUGUUGACUGUGGACUCUGGGGGGUGAUGCUGGCUCCGCGGAGGGUCACGGGUCAUGAGCAAUGCACCGCUGUGUGGGGGAGGUGAAUGGUGGGAGAGGCGGUGGGGAGCGGGGCUGGGGGUGUAGAACAACUCUCUGUACUUUCUACUCAAUUUUGCUGUGAACCUAGAAUGGCUCUAAAAAAUGAAGUCUGUUAAAAACAGUUUUAAA
ensembl:lncRNA RANBP3-DT RANBP3 divergent transcript